rnacentral:rRNA from 1 species
UACAGAGGUCUCAAGCGUUGUUCGGAUUCAUUGGGCGUAAAGGGUGCGUAGGCGGCGAGGUAAGUCGGAUGUGAAAUCUCGGGGCUCAACCCCGAAACUGCAUUCGAUACUGCUUUGCUUGAGGACUGGAGAGGAGAUCGGAAUUCACGGUGUAGCAGUGAAAUGCGUAGAUAUCGUGAGGAAGGCCAGUGGCGAAGGCGGAUCUCUGGACAGUUCCUGACGCUGAGGCACGAAGGCCAGGGGAGCAAACGGG